rnacentral:lncRNA from 13 species
ACCGUCCCACAGACAAAGGGUUUUUGCGAAGCCAGGACUAAUUUAGUGCAAACCUAAAUAAAUAUCGGCCCACAGAGAUCCUUUACAGAGGGGUUUGCCCUCGUUUCUUCUUGUGGAGGGCAUGGGAGUCUCCCUUCUACCUCUAAGAAUUCCUUUGUGAGCUUGAGUAUGGAAAUAAAAAAACAGACAGGCCAACCAGCCUUCUAAUGUCUGCUUAUGAUAAUGAGUUAUCCACUUCAUAGUACAGCAAAAUGUGGAUCUUUGAUCAAGGAAAGAAG